GGGCACUUAGCUCAGCUGGUUCAGAGCACUACCUUGACAGGGUAGGGGUCGCUGGUUCGAAUCCUGCAGUGCCCACCA
rnacentral:tRNA from 1 species